rnacentral:lncRNA from 1 species
CGUCGACACUUGAUCAAUAACUUGGCAGGAAGCUUGUUUCUCAGCACUCGGUUGUUGCGAUAAUUUGGUGUUUAUAACACAAUUAAUGGAUUGCUGCAUCAUGAACGCCUUUGGAUUUGGCUUGAAAUUGCUUUUUGCUUAUUUUCUGAUGUGGUAAGUUGAGCGCCAGAUGAACGUUCGCGCUUCUCUUGAGCUCUCUCUUUUCCCGGCAGUUUUAUAGGCAUCUGGAGCAGUCUCCAGCGUUCGCCACAUACCAGAGAUGUGGCAAGUUGGCUUGAAAAUUCGUUGGCUAACUUUUGUACAUGGAUUUUGAAGUGCUGGCAACCAGCUUGUGGCGCCUGGACUGACUUCUGGUCCAAGCCGCAGGUGCCUCGCUAAGUGAUGCUGGGGAUCUGCGCUGCUGGCAUGCCUCUGAUGACACAGAGCUGUGCUAGAAUUGUUUCAAAUUAAAAGUUACUUCAGUUUAAUUUCUUUUUUUAGGCUGAAUAAAAUUCAGCGCAAAUCCUAAUCGACUCGAU